UACGGAGGGGGCUAGCGUUGCUCGGAAUCACUGGGCGUAAAGCGCACGUAGGCGGUUUCUUAAGUCAGGGGUGAAAUCCCGGAGCUCAACUCCGGAACUGCCUUUGAUACUGGGAGACUUGAGUUCGGGAGAGGUGAGUGGAACUGCGAGUGUAGAGGUGAAAUUCGUAGAUAUUCGCAAGAACACCAGUGGCGAAGGCGGCUCACUGGCCCGAUACUGACGCUGAGGUGCGAAAGCGUGGGGAGCAAAC
rnacentral:rRNA from 1 species